UGAAACUGUUGAGAAAUAAUGCAGCCAAGUCUCCGUUCUCUUCCUGGGACCUGUGUGAUGGUAGAGUUGUAGGCCGUGCAUUUGCGAUGUCAGCAUGUGUCUCUAGUGACUGGUGGGGGCUUUCCACUCUUCACAGAAGUAGUCAGCAUAGACUAGAGAGCAGCAACGAGGAACCCAUGAACUGUCCUAUGAGGGACUUCUUUACAUGUGAAAAUGUUCUAGCCACAGGCAGUCUCCAAACAAGCUCUUAGAGGCUCCAUGAAAACCCAUGAAUUACAUACAGUGAAACCUGUGAGAGCCGGAACUCGACGGGCUGUCUUAUUUUCCAGAUACAACGACAUAUUCCACAGAGCGCUCAGAGCACUUCAAACCCUGCCGAGACAAGGACCUUGCCUACUGCCUCAACGAUGGCGAGUGCUUUGUGAUCGAGACCCUGACCGGAUCACACAAACACUGUCGGUAAGUCACUGCAGCCACGCAUGUGGAAAGGGCAGGACCUGAGCAGGAGCUGGUGGCAGAGGGCGGUGGUGAGCAUGAGCACCAGAGACUGUGUCUGCCAUGCCUGCACUCCAGCUGUGCCAAUGGCAGAGUGGAGUCUUAACACAGGACAAGCGUUGGAAGGACUUAACACCAAAAGCAAUGUAGACAUGGUUUCAGUUUUACCUGACCAAGUAGAGAAAAGUUGACUUUCAUAUAUGCCCAUGUAAUGGAAGUGAUUAUUACUCACAUUACAAGCCUGGUGUGGGAUCUAGGUACACAUCCGGGUAACGUAGAAGUAAUCUUUUGUUGCAAAACUACAUUCUGAGGCAGGACAAAGCAAGCCACUCAUCUAAGAUCUCACCUCCUGUUCAUUGUGAACCACACCCCAGAGGCUGUAACUGUGUCCAGAGAAAAUUGCAUCUUACUUUGAUUCUGGCCUGGCUUAUUAAUUUCAAUCCAUUUUUUUAACACCUCUGAUGAUGAAACACUCUCCAGCAAGGUGUUGUAAAUGAAAUCAUAGUCCUGUUAUGGUCUCCGUAGUGAACUACUUAGGGGAACUUCUCUCUAGAGGCCAAGAAGGUGUUUAAUUGGUUUUUAGAGACAUAAGGUUACAUAACUGCUAAAAAUAAAAACAUGGAGAUCAACAGUGCACUUGUAGACAAGGCAGCUUUAAGGCUCAAUAGAAGAAUCAAAUUAGCAUCUGAAAAAUAUUUCCCACCCGGCUUUUAUUUCUAGCACUGCCCUGGUAAUUUGUUUUCCUUGCAGUUGUAUACGCUUCAGUGAUCAUCUGUAUCCACACCCCUUUCCUUCUCUUUAAUUACUCCACUCAUAUGUCACAGUUACUAAAUUAAUUAUUCUGAAUUAUGAAGCAUGGAAAAUUACAACUGUUUUCCUCUCUAUUGCUCUUAUAAAACUUUAUUUCUGUGUUAUUUUAUAAGAUGGCAUAGAGCAAUACAUUUUAUUGUUGUAAACUUGGAACGUGCCCCAAAAUCCCACCUGGCUCCAGGAACUAGCCUCCGUCCAUCAGAAGGACUUGCUUCCACAGGGGUCAGCUGGCCUGGGUUUGGAAGAAAUGAUGUAUAUAUAUAGUGGUAGAUAUCUGUGAAGCUUACAAUAUGUCCUGUGCUGGGACAAACAGACUGGUGGCCUUCCCUUCACCUUGGAUAUGGCAGCAUUCAUGUGAUUUCUGCCAAUGUCAUUACAUUGACACCAGUCACAACCUUCACAUCUUGUUCCUGUCCUUGGGAACCUGAGUGGGGAGUACAAACAGUGGGGAAUUGUUCCGCCCCUACUCCUCUUGUUUAUAUACAUUAUUUCAUCCUAGACACAAGUGACUUCUAGAAAGACGUCAGUGGAAAAGCCAGGAAUGAGCUACACUUUCAAAGCAUGAAGUGUGCCCAUGCUGGUACAGAUACACAACCAGAAAUCAAAGUCACCUUUGUUAUUCCUGCAGGAUCAUAUGUGGGAGUGGGCGUCACAGUCCAAUUAAGUUUUCAUUCCUCAUCAAUUGAUGAAGAGUUGGAUCAGAAGAAUCAGUUAAAGCAGCUGCUUGCUGUGAUGGUCUUUGGCUCUGGGGAAGGAUCAGAGCAGGCCCCACCAAAGUACACAGGCUGAUUUGAUUCAUGCUUUCCAAAGCCAGGAAUGUCCAAAAGAGCAAAAUAGUUCUUAUUCUUCAACAUACAAUCUCACUGUAUUCUCUAUUAGUUCAUGGGCCUCAGGUCUAAAAAAUAAUCAUUUGCUUUUGUGGGCAUGUAUGUGUGUAAUUAUUUUAACAUACACGAGCCACGAUAUAGCUAUGUACAUGUAUAAUAAUUUUGUACUUCUGUCUUCAUAUUUUUGCAUAUUUCAGCACAGACGACAUGUUAUUUAAUUUAGAGUCACAACAUAGCUAAUCAUGACAAAAGACCAGCCUAAGACAGAAUUGGAACUCGAGUAAAGGCGAAUAGAUGCCUAUAAAUCUUCUACUACUGUAUAUGAAUAAAUCAUACAUUGCUUGUGCCAGCUAUUCAUCUCCCAGGCUUUGCUAUGAAUAAAAGGCUUACGUUUGUUCCUGCACGAGCCACUUCUAAGAAUUCCAGUGUAGUUAUUAAUAACGUGCCAUUUUGUAUAGCACUCUAUUUAAGCAGUACGUUCCAUUCAUUCUUUGCCCAUCCAACCAAUGCUUAUGGAGCACCUCCUAUCACUGAGAUACUGUUGAAUAAAUACAUACAGAAAUGAACUCAGGAAUUAAAUGGCACUGCACUCUGUAAUGUGCUUGAAGUAAGAGAAAUACUUCAUCCUUAGUAAACAUCAAAAACAAGGGGAAGUGUGUUAGAGUGACUUGCCCGCUACCAGGGGUUUCUUUACGAUGCAUUAGCAACCAGAUUAUGUUUCCCAUUAAGCAAGAUGCCAUUUAGUAGAUCAGAGCAGCAAUAUAAGGGCUGUGCACGAAUCUAGAUUAUUAAAUAGUUUACUUUUGACAUGUCUCAAAGGAUUAGACAUCUAACUCUGAGAGAAAUUGAUUAUAUUUUCUAGUUUUUUUUUUUUAAUAUUGCAAUCCUAUGAUAAACUACACCAAAUUUUAUUUUCUAUGCUUUGAAAAUAUACCACACUCUCACAUUUUUCUGUUUCCUUGCCAAGGAAGAGUAGUAGCCAAACUACUGAGUGUGACUCAGAAACCCUGUGACAGGUAUACUGGCAGUGCAUGCUCCAAAAUGGGAACAGCUCAGCUCCAGCAUAGGGGGCUUAACGUUCUUCCCUUUGUUGUGGCUGUCGUUGUUUUAGGUAUUUUCCAGUCUUUCAAAAAACGUUUACAGUGUCAAUAAUUUAGAAUUAGAGAAAAUUAAUGAAAAUUUCAGAGAGACACCAAGGUCCUAAAAAUAGCUUGGGAAUAGGAUUUUAAAGAGCAAUACAUAAACACACACAUGCACACAAACAUACAAACAUGCAUAAACAGGUGAACUUGCUCUUUCUAAAUUUAAAGUCUCAGAUCAUCCAGAGAUUGAUCAGUGAAAAUAGCCUCGUCAGUAGUGGAACUUAUUAUAAUACUAAAGGUGGAUUCUUAAAUUAGAGGAAAAAUGAGAGGCUGAUAGUUCAAUAAAUGAUUGACCACUAAAUAAAAAAAUACCAACCUUGGAUUCUUACCUCUUCUCUAUACCAGAAGUUAUUCUCAGUAAAUUCGAGAAUUAAUGUAAUAAAUAAGGAAUACAUAAAACAGUAAAUAAAAUUAUGUAUUUUUUAUGUCAGAAAUUAAAGGACCUUUUGAGCAAAAAUGAAAUGAGAGAUAAAAUUAAAGAAUUUUGAUAAAAUGUACGUUAUUUUCUCAUCUGAACAUCAAAAUUCAGAAACAAAACUAAAACACAAGCACUGAGUGAACCAUUAUAGCAAAUACCACAAAGAAUUAAUAAUCUAAAGAAGUCACACAGAUCAAUAAGGCCAAAAGUGAGGGGCAUAAUCUUUGCUUAAAAAGAGUAAAAACAACAAAUAAACAUGAAAAAUACUCAGCUUCACAAACAAAUGUAAAUUAGAUGGGCUGUGUUUUUGCCUGUCAAAGAUUUAGUGAUUUUUAAAACUCAAUAUUCAGUUUGGUGAGAUUUCAGUAGAAACACAUUCUCAUAAAACUAGUUGAGGAGUGUACUUUGUUAAAUAUUUUCUGUAGACGGUGUUUCAGUAUGUUUCAAAACAUUAUAUUGUUUCUAAGAGUCUGGCCUACGGAAAUGUAUACGAAGGUUUUUUUGUAAGGAUUUCAACACAGGUUUAUUUAUAAUAGCAAAAAAAAAAAGUCUGAAUUUAAGUAUCUACAUAAAUUAGAGGAGCCUUGGUGGUUAAGAGCUAUGGCAGCUAACCAAAAGGUUGGCAGUUUGAAUCUACCAGCUGCUCCUUGGAAACCCUAUGGGGCAAUUCUACUCUGUCCUGUAGGGUCACUAUGAGUCGGAACUGACCUGAUGGAAAUGGGUUUUAUUUUUUGGUUUGGUUAUAUAAAUUAGAAUAUAUCUAUAUGUUGGAUGAAAUCAAUAUAACUGGAAUUUUCAAAAUGUUUCACUGACAUGAAAAUGCUCAUUGUAUCAUGCUUUAUAUGAAAACCAGUUUAGAAAAUUGUAAAGCUGAACAUACAAUAAGACCCUCAUUCUGAAAAGAAACUAAAUAAAUAUGUGAAUAGGGUUUACAACUAUUUUCUUUUUUGAGCCUUAUGAUUUUUCUAAGAUCUCUACAUUGCACAUGGAUGUAAGUUAUAAUUCAAAAAAUUUAUUUUUGAAAAAUAUUUUAAUGGAAAGAAAACAAGUUAACCGCUCUUCAUCUUUUUCCUUUAGAUUGAUUGUUAUUAGUUCUUCAUUAAAAAUAAUUGUCCAGCAUAGGAAUGCCUUAUAGAGUCAUACUUAUCCUUCAUGUGUACCAUCUGGUUAAGGAAGAUUGGACCCAUGCUAAAAGCCUUUCUGUAAAGAAAGAUAGUGUCCCUGUCUCUGUCAAAUUGAAACCUGUUGCCCUUAAGUUGAUUCCGACUCAUAGUGACUCUAUAGGACAGACUAGAACUGCACCACAGGACUUCCAAGGCUAUAAUCUUUAUGGAAGCCAACUGCCACGUCUUUUUCCCACCAUGCUGUUAUAAUCCAUUAUUAUUAAGCUGAUUAGAGAGUUUUCAAUUAGCUCAUUCUAAAUUAAGCACUGCUAAGUCUAUUUAAAUGUAUCUGCUCAUCCUAUUAUUAAUAAUUCAUUUUUACUCUUUAAAAUAAUUAUUUCCUAUGCUCAAUUCAUGUGUUUUGAAAACAUUUUAAAAAAUUGGAUUCGGUAUAUAAUAAGACACAUUCUGCAGAAAUAAAUCUGGGUAGAGAAGAAUAGCAAGUCACUAAAAACUCCUAGAAUCAAAAUAUUCUGAAUAAAAGCAGGGUGUUUUCUGAUCUAUUUAUUUUCAUGUCUUUGCUAGAAACUUUAAGAACUUGUAAAAUUGUGCUCUUGGUAAUAUAUUUCACUAGAAUGAAAGAGGUAGCCAUUGUAACUUAAAAUAUUGCCGGGUAUUUGAAUGGACCAAGUGUAUUUUUAGGCCAAAUUCAAGUUAAAAGGAUGUAUCUUUUCUGAAUUGAACCUCAUUAAAUAUCUCACUAGCCCUACCGCACAAAAUGAAUUUUCAAAACUUUGGAAAGGAUAGCAUUUGAGUUGAAUUAGACCUAUAUUGAUCAUUUUGGAAAUCUACCAAGCGAUUCACUUGAAGAUGCUUGAAAUAUGUAACUCCUAGAACAAGAGGAAAGCAAUCCAAAAGCAACCAUCGCCACCGGCAAUGCCUCGGUAAGGAGGCUGAUGGACUAGGCAGCAAUCUGGGAAACUGCUGGUCUGGUUGGGAGAAGGGCAGCCAUUGAAAAGGAGGAGAACCCUACAAGGAGAUGCUGUUCCUUCUCACGUCUAGCUCUGACUGAGUAGAUUUUUCAACAAAACUUCCAUUUUUAAGAGGAUUGAGCACAGUAUAA